UUUAUGCAUAAAUAAAUAAAUCAAUGACCAAACGGACAAAUUAGAAAAAUUUGAUUUUUUCCUAGUAUUGCUUGAUAAUAAUCUGCUUAAUAUUCAGUUUCCAGUUAAAGAUGAUGAACUGUAAGGUAAGCAAACAUGACUUUUGAACUGAUUUUCCCACACUUAUAUAGACUAGCACUGAGAUGGCUCGCUGUGUCCUGUAGUCUGAUCCAGUCUGAUCAUGCACACAGUCUACAUUUUCUGUAUGGCUGUUCUAGGCUUAUGCAUACUAGUAAUGUGCAACCCAAUACAAUCCCCAAAAAAUGCAAUGCAAAGAGAAAACCAGAAAGAUCGAACAGAGACUAAGAUCAAUCGUUUGAUCAUAAAAUUUAUUAAUGGAAAGAUGAAAGCCUUUUAUCAAGAUUCAGCCGACAUUUAUUUGAGGAAAAAUAAAGCCUGCUUUAUUAAAAAUAAUAUUAUUAUGUGCUUGGAUUCAAAUAAACAACCCUACAUUUCAACAAACAACAAUAAACCGAACUUAUAUCCGAGGUACAGAAGAAGUCAGCAUGUUGAUCCAUCUGAUCCUUUGGGCUCUGAGAAUCCAAAGUCAAGAAAGUCUAAUUAUCGAAGACAAAACCAAGAGCGUGAGCGCAGCAGUAAUGUUUCUAAGGAGACCAUUACAUCUUGUGAUGACCCUUUACAUGUAUUGCUCUCCAAGAGUCCAGUCAGUCCAAAUUUGCAACAGGGGAAGAGAAAAAAGCAAGUUGCACCAUCUGAACUCUUCUGAACCAAAUCUGUUCAUGUGGAGAAUCUGUGACGUACGCAUGCCAUUAACGGACAUAUUAUUGGAAUGUUGCAAAAUUAAUGUAUAAAGUGUCAAAGGCCUGAGCUUUUCACACAAGCAUUUUUUAUUAUUAUUUUAUUUUAUUAAUACAAAGUAUGCAGGCUACUUUAUGGGUUAUUCAUCAUCUCUGUAUGGUAAAAAUAGAUUAGGUUACUGCAUGUUAGUACUUUCACCUUGACAUCAGUUAAAAUUUAAACAGGAGGGCCAUUGCAAGCUGUGGCAAUGACUUUAUUUUUAUCAGAACUGUGAUGAUCUUUUUCCAUAGAUGAUGCAUAAAAUCAUCAAACACAAAAAAAAUGCAGCAUAAAGUUAAAACAACUUCAAUUCAAGCUAUUAUUUUAAGUUUUGACUUAUAAGUUGACAUGACUUAUAAAAAACAAGUUGAAAUUGUUUAACUUAAUUUGUUAAGUUAAAGUAACACAAAUAUAUAUGUUGAUUUGACAUCAUUUUUACAGUGCUUCUGCAUAUUAUGAUGUUUAAUGUACAUUGUAAAAAGUUGGAUCAACUUAAAAAAUUACUUCAAUUGGUAACACACACAAAAAAAAUGUAUAUAUUUAAGUGAAAAAAACUUAAAUUGAAAAAUAAAUGUAAAAAAACAUUUUUAAGUGUUAUCAAUUAAUUAAAUCUUUAAGAUGAUCCAACUUUUCACUUUUUUUUUUUUACAAUGUAUGCAGUUUCAUUUAGUUUAUUGAAAAGAUCUGAAUAUCAGAUGCAAAGUCAUAUGAGAUGGCUGGCCACCUCUACUGAAUUAUUUAUUAAAAACAAGUAUUCAUGCAUUUGUAUUUAUUAUAUUUUAUAUUGAUGUUGUAAUUUAAUGUAAUCGAAAAAAUAUCAAUUUAUCAAAUGCAUUCGCUCAACUCUGAGCACAGGCCAAUGCAUCAAAUAAUAUUUAUCCUUGAAAUAUUCAAAUUUUAUAUUUUAUUGUAUUACAUUACUCUGAGGAAAAAAAACAUUAAUUCAUAAAAGUGCCACCAGUACAUAAUGUAUUUCAAAACAGGGUGAUAAAUGCUUAUUUUCUUACAUUACAAUAUGAACACAAUAUGUUUCUGCUUAUUUCAUGAUGAUGAUGAAAACGUUGAGUACUAUGGUGAAAUAAAGAUAGAUUGACAUAAUAUGUUUAAUCUGA